GAAAAAGGUGCCUGGUUACUGUGUACUGCCUAAGCUGGCACUGCCAUGAGAGGGGUGCCUGGGAGUGGGCACUACCCCCGAAGCUUUCCCCACAUGAGGGCGGAGUGUGAGAGCGAGAGCAGAGAGAGCCAGCUUGUGCUGCCUUACAGAGACGUGUGUCCCCAGCACAGUGCUUUAGAAACAAGCAGCACUCUUUUGAACCGCUGCCAAUGGAGGCUGGCCCAAGCUGUUGCAGCUGAAACUUUUACAAGCUCACUGCUCGGGAGCAGGAAGAGAGAGACACGGAGAAAUAUUUGUAAAGGGAAUUUGCAUGCGCAGCUCCUCUAUUCUCCAGUUCUUGUCUGCGCUCGUUCCUGAAAUAUUGGCAAGCUUAUUUCUUUGUUGAUCAUUGUUAGUGUUUAUUAAUAGGGGAAUUCUUAUAAGGAAACUGAACUAUUUUUUGGGAGGAGUGUGCAUGAAGGUUGAAAUGCAAGGUACAUUUGAAGGACAGAAAUAAAUGAGAAAAUAACAAAAGAAUAGAUGACGUCACAGAGAGAGCUGCCCGGGAUUAUGCCUGAGAAAAGAUGAUGAUGACAGUUUUUGACUGCAGCACUUGUUUAUGUGACAUACGUGUCUAUGUCUCUCUCUCUCUCUCUCUCUCUCUCUCUGGUGGACAGACGGAGGCGGAAGGGGGUGAAAUACACUUUUUGGCACAGUGACUCUGGAUUAUUUUGGUGACUUUAACUUAUUUUGGCACAGAGUCCUGCGGAACUCUGUCAUUCGGGUUUAUCUUACUACCACCGUCUGUUUCCAGAAGUUGACCCUUUCCUCACCCUCUGUUUUGCUUUUUCGCAGCACAGCUUGUUGCUGGGGUAUCAUUCCUGCAAACCACAUUUAACGUACACAUACAGAAACGCCCAUCUGUAACGUUGACAAAAAAGGACACUUUUUUUAACUCACAGGUUGUUUUCUUUCUUUUCUUUUCUUUCAUCUCAUUGCGACCGGGCAAUUUUACCAUUUUAUCUGAAAGCGUGAAAGCGGUUCAAAUCAAAACAAAAAACACAGGCAGGUGCAGAACAGCUAAAGACGUCUGUAAUGACUACUGAAAAUGGGAACCGUGAGGCAUGUAUUACCUGGGACUGAUGCCAACUGCUGACAAAAGGCUUCACUGCACGCUCUGAGAGAAGUCUUUAACUCGUUCUUUCUUCCCCCCCAAAUGCAUCAGAAAUCUACGGGAUUGAGUUGUUUUGAUGUCAUAAGUCUGGCAACACUUUUUGCCAUAGGUACAACAACCGAUGUAAGUAUUUCAUUCUGGUACCUCUCUGCGCUCGUGUGUUUUUCCCUGCUCUCUCUGCCUCAGUCUGUUACUGUGAGAUUCAUUUAUGAUGAUAGACUGUCAGUCUCUGGGUUUAAGGGCCAUGUGGGGUGUCUUUUGUUUUGUUGUUCCUUACAGCCAUUCUUUUAGAGAGGAUUUCAAAGUUUAAGAUCUCAAUUUCCGCUAUGAAACUACUUGCGGUUCGAACCCAAAAUAAGAUUUUUCUUUUUCGAAAGUCAUCUGUUCGAGCAGGCUGUUGUGACCUCAUGCUUUCUCUCUCUCUCUCCUUCUUUCUUCCUCUCUUCCUCUCCCUGUUUCUGCCUCUUGGCAGCUGGGCCAAAGUGGGCAGGGAGAGAGGAGGGCACGGCCGAGACUGCUCUCAAGCCCCAGCCCUUGUUCGAGUGGGGUUGCUCGCCAGCACGCUGCUCAGCCUUUCCCUCAUCUUGCAGACGAAAGAGAGGGACGUGGAAAUGCGCUCUCCUCUCUUUUCUUCCCCGCCCUUUUUUCACCACCACCAUGGCCUGUUCACUUCGGGUCAUCUCUGCGGAGAUCCCUGCUCUGUCCUUUACAAAAUCUACUUCCAGUUCCCUAGUAAGAACUGCUAAACCUCAUCUCUGGGUCAACGCCAGACUAAGCACCUGUCCUUGAGGCUGAGGAGACAGACUGAUCGUCAAUAACCCUGAAGAGUGACCAUUCUCCCCUGACCGUCGCACCCAUCUUCCCAGCCUGGACACCUGCAUGCAGCCUGUCUCUGCUCUGUGGGGAAGUUACCCCAUUAUAGCAUAUCACCUCCAUUUACACCCAUUCACAGACUGUUGCAGGACAAAAUGAGAACGGGUAACAUUUCCUUUGUUAGACCACCUGAUGCUUUAUUUGGGUUAUUGGGGCCUGUUGUGUUUGAGUGAAAGUGUACUUUAGGGUGAGUGUGUUUGUGUUGUCGCCUCUCGCUGUAUCUGUUUGAGUGUGUCUGAAUGACAUUCCCCCUUCAUCCGUCAGUCUUUCAGGUGAAUGUGUCCUGGCGAGAUGAGGUAGUAGGUUGUAUAGUUUGUGGGAGGGAUUUAAUCCUAUUCAGGUGAUAACUAUACAGUCUAUUGCCUUCCUUGAGAGGCACAAUGACAGUCUGCAGCAACGAGGAAGUCCCCAGCUCUCUGAAUUCCUCAAUGCGUUGGAUGCAAUCUCACUAUGAUAAAGCAACAGCUGGAGCACAAAUGGGUUUAUAGCCUCUCCACCGCCACUUGGUGGCCAAGGAGCAGCAGGACUCCAGAGACCUUCUUGUAGGUUCAGGAUUCAGAGCUUCUCAAGAAUGAAAGGAUAUGAAAAGCACUCAACAGAGAAUGCAUCAGUGUUACAAAAUCUAAACAAUAAAGGGUUGGUUCUCCAGAACCAAAUCAAGCCCUAAAUAAAUGCGUAUAGGCUUGUGAUAUGUUUUAUGGUAACAUUAUUCAAUGUUGUAUUAAUUAAUAAAGGUUAAAUAUAGCUAUUAAACUUG